GCGGGCGUGGCGGAAUCGGUAGACGCAGCAGACUUAAAAUCUGUCGACCGCAAGGUCGUGCCGGUUCAAGUCCGGCCGCCCGCA
rnacentral:tRNA from 1 species